ensembl:miRNA MIR105-2 microRNA 105-2
UGUGCAUCGGGUUCAAAUGCUCAGACUCCUGUAGUGGCUGCUCAUGCACCAUGGAUGCUUGCGCAUGUGCUGUGCUGUUUA